AUGGGGAUUGCAACCAUGCAUGGGCUACGCUCUUUGCAGCUGUUUGGCAAUAGCCUAACCAAUAAAGGACUGACAGCUAUCCUUGAUAAUUGCCGCCACCUGGAGUCCCUUGACAUUCGCCACUGCUUUAACGUCUACAUGGACAACACCCUGCGCACAAAGUGUGCCAGGAUAAGCACACUUUGGCUUAUCCUGCCAAAAUUGGGUGAUGUCGGCAUGACAGAGCAAUUUAUUCGCCCACAAACAUCUGACAGGGGAUUUCCCAGAAUAAUAUCUUCCCCAUCCAUGGAUUCUCGGGGUGAUCUUUCUGCCAUUGAGAAUCAGGUGCACAAGCUAAUCGAUGAUUUGAGAAGCGAUUCCAUAGAAGGUCAAAGAUCAGCGACAUUAGAGAUUCGCCUUCUAGCUAAGCACAACAUGGAGAACAGGAUUGUCAUUGCAGAUUGUGGGGCUAUAAACUUGCUGGUUGGUCUUCUUCAUUCACCAGAUGCCAAGAUCCAAGAAAAUGCAGUGACAUCCCUCCUCAAUCUGUCCAUCAGUGAUAACAAUAAGAUUGCCACAGUGAAUGCAAAUGUUGUUGAUCCUCUCAUCCAUGUCCUGGAAACAGGGAACCCUGAGGCUAAAGAGAAUUCAGCAGCUACUUUGUUCAGUCUCUGUAUUCUUGAAGAAAACAAAGUGAGGGUUGGACGAUCUGGUGCCAUCAAGCUUCUCGUGGACUUGCUGCGAAAUGGGACCCCGCGAGGAAAAAAAGAUGCAGCCAAUGCACUGUUUAAUUUAUCCAUACUUGUGAGAACAAGGGUCACAUUGUGCAAGCUGAUGCGGUGA
rnacentral:rRNA from 1 species